CCGGUUCUAGCUGGAUCGCUUUACCAACCUGCUGAUCUCCACGGUGGUUGCCGGAUGAUGGAUUCAGUUCCACACUCUUGGCUUCAAUGCCCCCUCAAUGGCAGUGGUGGCAGAACUAAAAAAGAUAAGACUCGAAGGACACAGAGAUGGUGAAUAGGAAAGGAUGCUGUACCCAGAGAGGAUAUCGUAUUGCCGAUAAGCAGAAGAGUUUCUGCCCUACCCAAAGGUGAAUUCAUGCUGAAAGGUGGAGACAAACCACGUGUCCACCAUGGACGAAUAAAUAAACCAAAUGUGGUCUACGUAUACAACGGAAUACCAUUCAGCCUUAAAAAAGAGAAUACUGACACAUACAACAAUAUGAAUGAACCUCAAAGACAUUAUGCUACGUGAAAUAAGCCAGCUGCAAAAGGACAAAUUCUACACGAUUCACUUAUAUAAGGCCAGGAGAACUAUGGAACAAAUGGCCCUGAUGGUGAAGUCAAGGAAAGCUGGAGGAAAAAUAAAUGAGAAGUCUAAGCAGAGGGCCUCCCCGCCCAGAUUCUGCUGGAACUCCGGCCUACGCUCCCAGCCCGCAGCAUUCUAACCCUGUCUGCGACUGGGCUGGAAAACAAAGUUUCUCCGGAAGCCGGAUGCCCACCAGGGAGCUCUGUAAGUGGGUUUUUGUGGCAUCCCCUCCAAUUAGCACCAGGAGAAUGGCCGACUGGGAAAGAGAAAAACUUAAAGUUGAAGGCUUAUAGUGUUGUGGAAAAAUGUGUUACAGCUCGGUGAUACAGCUCAGUUGUGACACCAACCUGGAUCCGGACAAGACACCAAGCAUCACUCUGAAAGUUGGAGAACUCAGGCGUAUUACACGAGCAAGCCCAGCGAAGUUGACACUUAAGCUCUGGACCCCGUCUGUAAUUUUACACAGGCCUUUUAUAGGCUGCCAGUUUUACACUUUGCAACAUCAUACGCAAAUAAAGUACAACAGAAGUUGACCAACCAGGAACAAGUUUUGUAGAAAUAGACCAAUCAGGAGUGAGCUCCAUGCAGAUGAAGUACUACAAAUGGACCUAUCAGAAGUUAGGGAAGUGGACCAAUCAGAAGUGAGAGUAAUAACCAAUCAGGAGUGAGAGUAAUAACCAAUCAGGAAUGAAGGAAAUAACCAAUCAGAAGUGAGCUCAGGGAACCAAUAGAAUUCUAGGUGUAAGUUAGCCGCUUUGGAGGCAAAAAGUGAGAUAGAGUCUCUGGGCCAGGGAACCGGACAGUGCUAAGACGAGAGCAGCGGCCCUGCCUAGGGGUCCUGCUGGUCUUUUUAUGGGACUUCCCGCCUCAAUGGAUCCCAUUUGUACCCUCAGCAAAGCCGUAUUCCUCUGGGACCCCAGGAGGUAAGGGCCAGCAGACCUGUACCUUGGAUGAUUCUUACUUAUAACAUGGCCCAGGACCCCAGGACAAGGACCCUGUCUCUGGUCUCCACAGAAGGAAUCCUUAACUUAAUAAAUCUUUUCUCCAUAUGUCCCAUAAGCAGGACUCAAAAGCAGCGGCACCCUGGGAACCACCUUGGGAAGUUUAACCAACAGUGAUGCCCACGCCCCACUCCCAGAAGGUCUGGUUUAACUGGAGAGGGGCGACCCAGGCAUUGGGAUUUUAAAAAGCUCUCCGGGUGAUUCUAAAGUGCAACCAAGGUUGAAUAUGGCUGCUCUAAAGUUCAAACAGGAAGACUAUGGCCACGGAGAGGGAGGUGGGCGCUGCCGCAGAAGUAGAUUAAAAAGAGCCAGGAAAGCCCAGGUACCACUGAGUGACGGUUCCGAGAGGGCCGAUCUUAGAGAAGUGGUACUCUGCUAUUCCUCCACGUCAGGAGCCAUUAACCAGAAGCUGUUUGGUCUGUGCGCACAUAGUGAUGCGAAGAACCUGCCUUCUGUGAUGAAAACAUAGUUUUGUAACAUAGAAAUAGUUUCCCAAAAUGGUCGCUUUUCUACUAGUCAUGGUGUUUGGGCUUUCCCCUUUGGCGUGUACUUAACUGCUGAGAGAGGUGGAGUCCAAACAAACCCUGUCACAUCCUGUGGGUAUCUGCUGACUGCUGGCUUCAGCUUUCUUGAUGUCUUAACAAAACUGUUCACUGAA